GGCCCUGGCUGUGCGCGGCCGCGCAGGUGGCGGCGCUGGCGGCCCUGGCUGCUCGGCAGGCGGAACUUGUAGGAACGCAGGGCUUCUUGGUGUGGCCGGAGCCGAGACCCAGCCGGAGCGAGCAACAGGUUGGUGAAAACCCUGUGUCCUUGGAGAAAGCUGGUUCCCGUUUUCCUGAGGGGGAGCCCAGAGCUUGAAAGGUCGCAGCUGGCACUUCGAGAAGGAAGUGGAGAAUAAAAACGGCGCCUGGAGCAAUAGUAGCAACGUGGAAUGGGACUGGGGAAGCCCCUUGGACAUCCAGCUGCAGAAACAGACACCCCAACGCUAUUUACAAACAGCCCUAUAUAUAUAUAUAUAUAAAAAGAAAACAUGAAUAUUACUAUUCAGUGCAUGCCUUGUUGAGGACGUGGUCCCCUCCCUUUUCUGCACCUUCCGAUGUGAACUUUGAUGCUCUUUCCUGUCUGGGGCACUGGAAGAGAGAUCGUUACUGUGUACCUAGAAAAUCUGCAAAGACUGGUGGGGAUUAGCCUCAGAGGCGACCAACCGCCUGGGAGGGAUGCUGGUGGAGGACGAGGUGAAACUGCAAAAGGCAAAAUAGAAAGAAAAAGUGAGGAGGACUUGGGGCCAAUUCUGUAGGGGCAGUCUGGGAUACCUCCAUUUCUUAAGUCUUGACAAGUCCUAAUCUAUCUCUCUCCCUCCCUAGAUAGAUGGCUAGUCCCACUGUCACAUCAAGACAAAUGGAAUUUUUUUUCCUACCAAUCUGGUGUGUCUGGUGCUUCACCUAAAUUUUGCUGGUGCUAAGUGUGUUCUUGCUGGUGCUGCCAUGGUAUUCUGCGGCCAGACCAGCAAGGCCCGGGAACAAGAGAGAUUUCUAUUUUGCUGUUUUGGAUUCUCUUUUUUUAAGGGAUCAGUCACAAAGUGCCACUUGAGAGUCUUUUCUCUUUCUCUACGUGGGGAUGAAUAUCCAGAGGUGUUUUGGAGCAAACCUUGGGGUCUGGGAGGAAGUGGAGGGGAUGGCACUGAGUGGCUUGCUGGUUACGCGGUGGAAAGCUGACCUCACAUACGACUUGUUUGCAGUCUCCUCCACCCCCACAGAAGUAUCCUGGGAGUUCAGUCCACAGCCUCCCCAACUCCCCAAGGGGAUUUCAGGGCUUAGGUUUUAUAGAUUAAAGAGCCAAGAAAUGGCUACGUUGUGGUCAAGGGUGAUUUAUAAGCAAGGGAGGUUGGGGGAGGGAGAGGGUCAUUUAAAUGAAAUGUACCAGCAUCUCACUGACUGACAGAGGGUCUGAUUUUUUUUUUUUUCAGGAUAAGCUACUAUUUUCAGAAGUUUCUCGAAGGGCUAAAAAAGAAAAAGAUGUGUGCUGGACUGAGACUUGGCUGCAAAGACUCUUCAGGGAGCGAUGAUUAUUUUUUUGCUUUCAUUAAAAAUAAAUCCAACAACAGGUAUUCCUCUGUGCAGGACACACACUGCCUUUUUCAAAACUGAGAUGGUGAGGCACCAGGCUGCAGGUUCAGACAGUCGCUCUUCAAAGCUGGAUUUGCAGAUCACCACCCAGAACCUACGGACAGGGGGUCUGCGGUGCUGGUUAGUGCACACCCUUCCAGUUCUAAGAAGCCAGCAGAGGGAUCAGCCAUUUUAAGGUUGACAUGGGGCUGAAACAGCCAUUCUUCCCCAUGGGCUUUGCUGAAAAUUACCAGGUCCUUUAGAAUGCAGGAGCGUUCAGUGCUGCUGCAAGCUGGGAGCUGUCUUUCUUUCUUUAAAAAAACAAAAAAACAAAAAACCAUGCCUUAUGUUUUCCUAAAUAGCCCUUUAAAGAAAAAUGCAAUCCAGAACUGCUGAAGGUGAGGGCAGCUUCCCCUCUCCUCCAGACAGCCUGGAACUCAGCAGAACAAAAAGGAAAGCUGAUUUUUGGAGAACUUGUUUCCCUUCAGGGCUGGAGCCCUCCCUGCAGUUAACGUUUACAGGGAGACGGUGUGUAGGCAGGGUCGGCAGAGAGCCGCAGGUGGCAUUCCCACCAAGCCAAGAACUUAGAGAAGGCAGAUGAAUUAGAAUGAUACGACGUGCAGACACUAGUCUUUCCCGCUUACCCCAUUUUCUGGGGCCGGGGUUUUCAUUACUGUAGUUGUACGCGAUCACAGCUCUCUUCUGCUCCUUUAAGGCUGCGCCUUCCAGACUGCAGUGGGGACAGCUGACCACCUAGAUGCAGGUUAAAGGUCAGAAGAUCCCUUUUUUGACCCUGAUUAGCUUAUGACAUUUCCUCUAGAGAAUCCAGACUCCAAAUGCUGGGGUUUUGGGCAAUACUGAUUUCAAUGAAGCCACACUGCUGAGAGAACUGGGCACCCAGGACCUUCCUGAUGGAGCUUUACAGCCAAGUCCCUUGUACAUAUUCUCUUGUAUUAUUAGAAACUGUGUAUUUAUCUAAUCCUGGCUUUUUUCUUGCACAUCAUUAAUUUGAGUGCAUUUCUCAACUGCCCCGAUUUUUGACAAGGGGUUGUUUUUAAUGCUUGUUUUUAUAUGAGAUUUGACUUCUUGAUGGACAUUUGUAUUAGGAAAUUGAAGCAUGAUAUAUAUGUAUAUAUUGUCUCCACCGUCUCUCCUAUUGCAUUACUUGAAUUGCAUGAGAUAGUGGGGUGGUGGUUUUUUUAAAAAAAUAUUUCCACAGUGUGCAAAGUGCUGGCACCAUCCCUCCUUCUCUUCCCCCUCCCUUUUCUCUGGCUGCCAAGGAGUCAUUGAUUUUGAUUAGCUUCACUGCAGAGCGUCUGUGAAGAGAGAGAGAGAGGGAGGGAGGCUUUGAAAUAAAUUU